UCCAUCCUCGUCAUGGGGUGACUGGGAAACUCAAUGAACGUCUAGUGAGAGUUUCCCUGCUGACACCAUAACACAACACUUACGCACCUCCCGAAUCUCAGAUUUGGGUUCUGGUGCAAUUUUUGGAAAC